UGCCUGGAGUGGAGCGGAGCGGGGCGACGGUGCGGAGAGGAGCGGUGCGCCUCGCCUCGCAGCCUGGCCACGGCUCUCUCCCCCCCCCCCUCACCUCACCGCCCAUCCCGGGCACCGUGCGAUGCGGACCAGUUUGGUGACAGGGCCACCAUGACAGCGGCGGCUUGCCAAGGUGAGUCGUGCCGCAGACACAGCGGCGGGGCGGCUCCGGUAGAUGAGCCAAUGACUGUAUACACAAGGGAGCUGUCGUGACGUUGACAAGUUAGUGAUGCCGCUCUGACCUCUUCCUGUGUCUCGAAACAGAAUGAAAGUUGUUUCCAACUAGGGUGUGUUUAAUGAAUCAAAACCAAGGGAGUGCUGGCAGUCACUGGAUUAUUUUUUAACUGUGAAAAGACUUUCCAUCAGGCAAAAUGCUCAUAAAGGAAUACCACAUCCCUCUUCCCAUGAGCGUCGAGGAGUAUCGUAUUGCACAACUGUACAUGAUUCAGAAAAAGAGCAGAGAUGAGACUUGUGGAGAAGGCAGUGGAGUGGAGAUCCGUGAGAACAGGCCCUAUAACGAUGGACCCGGGGGUUCUGGCCAGUACACUCGCAAAGUCUACCAUAUUGGCAUGCAUAUACCCAGCUGGUUCCGAUCUAUUUUACCUAAAGCUGCAUUGCGUGUGGAAGAGGAGUCAUGGAAUGCCUAUCCCUAUACCAGAACAAGGUAUACCUGUCCCUUUGUAGAGAAGUUCUCCAUUGACAUUGAAACAUAUUAUAAACCUGAUUCAGGAGAUCAGGCAAAUGUAUUUAAUCUCUCCUCUGCUGAGAAAAGGCAACGAAUGCUUGAUCCCAUUGACAUUGUCAAAGACCCUUUUCCUCCUAAUGAAUACAAAACAGAGGAGGAUCCUAAACUGUACAAGUCGAUCAAGACAGGAAGGGGCCCCCUAACAGACAAUUGGAUAGAAGAGUGCAAGAAGAAGCCUGGACAAAUGCCAAUCAUGUGUGCGUAUAAACUCUGCAAAGUGGAGUUUCGAUAUUGGGGAAUGCAAUCCAAAAUAGAACGCUUCAUUCAUGAUGUAGGCCUGAGGAAAGUGAUGCUACGAGCUCACCGACAAGCAUGGUGCUGGCAGGACGAGUGGUAUGGCCUUACCAUCGAGGACAUCCGGCAGCUGGAGCAUGAAACACAGCUCAUGCUGGCCCAGAAGAUGGCCCAGUUUGUGGCAGAGUUAAACGACAACGAAGCUGAACAGCCAGGCCUGACCCAAACCUCCAUUGAGAGAGAUCAGAACUCCAUCAGUGCCAAUCCCAGCAUCAACAUAGAAUCCAGCAGUACCAAUCUAAAUGAGUACACGGACUCAUUAACAGAACGAGCAUUGACUAAACAAUGGUCCACAUCGUCCAAAUCAUCACAUUCAUCAAUAAGAGGAGCAAGCCCUUCGCGACACAAUAUUGCAGACUGGCGAAUGCAGAGUAUUGCUCGAGACUCUGAUGACAGCUCAGAUGAUGAAUUCUUCGAUGCACAAGAAGACUUUUCAGACAAUGAGGAAAACUUCCCUCAAGAAAUCACAAAAUGGAAUUCAAAUGAUCUUAUUGAUAAAAUAGAUGCCUGUGGUGAAGCUGAGGAGGGCCAGUGUGACUUGUACCAAGGCCAAUUGAGAGACUAUGUUCCGUCCACUGCAGAGCAGUUGAAUCCCAUUGAGGAUGAAGCAUCUUUGCACAUCGUACAGUCUUGCAAGAUUCACAUGCUUGUGCUCAUUCUACAUGGUGGCAACAUCCUGGACCCUGGCAGUGGAGACCUGACGUCCAAACAGGCCGAUGUCAACACCAUCACCUCGGUCUUUGAGACGGUGAUGAGGGUGCACUUCCCUGCCGGCCUGGGCCACAUUGCCGUGAAGCUGGUUCCCUGCCCGGCCAUCUGCUCGGAAGCCUUUUCACUGGUGUCCAACCUCAAUCCCAUAAGCUAUGACGAAAGCUGUUUAUCAAACAGCCAGGACCACAUUCCACUGGCGGCACUUCCUCUGUUGGCAACAGCGUCGCCCCAGUAUCAGGAUGCAGUGGCCACAGUUAUCUGCAGAGCAAAUCAGGUCUACAGCGAUUUCAUCAAAUCCCAGGAAGGAAUCUCCUUCAAUGGCCAGGUGUGUUUGAUUGGAGACUGUGUUGGGGGAAUCCUGGGCUUCGAUGCCCUGUGUUUCAGCAACCAGACCGUCUCUGAGAGCCAGAACAGUAGCCGGAGAGGCAGUGUGCUGAGUGUGCAGGACAAUGAUCUAUUAUCUCCUGGAAUUGUUGUGAACACCAGCACUGGUUCUAACCUGGAGGCCAGUCGGCAUCUGAGCAGAAGCAGCAGUGACAUUCCACGAAGCAGUGUGGAUAAUCCAAGCAGGCAGCUGCCCCGAAAGAGGAGUGAUUCGUCCACAUAUGAACUCGAUACAAUUAAACAUCAUCAGGCGUUUCUCACCAGCUUGCAGUCGGGUGUUGUGCGGACUGAUUCUGGGUCCAGGCGAUCGAGUGGUUCCACCAUGCUGGAAGGAGUGAGUCCCGGAAGGUUUGAGUUUGAAGUGACUGACUUAUUUCUGUUUGGUUCCCCAUUGGGGCUGGUGCUGGCGCUGAGGAAGACCGUUCUCCCCAACCUGGAUGUGUCGCAGCUGAGACCAGCGUGUCAGCAGGUGUACAACCUGUUCCACCCAGCCGACCCUUCGUCUUCUCGCUUGGAGCCGCUUCUGGAGAUGAAGUUCCACCUGUUGCCGCCGUUUAACGUUCCCCGCUACCAGCGGUUCCCGCUGGGCGACGGCAGCUCGGCUCUUCUGGUUGAGACAAUCCAGAGCAAUCCCAUCCUCAUCCUGGAACCUCCAUUUGUGACUGUCCAACGACAGGAGAGUGUAAUGGAAACCAGUAUUCCUGUUCCUGUCCUUAACUGGCAAGAUGCUUCCAGUCGGAAUCCAACUGUUGCAGAGUCGGACAUUGUCCAGACUCACCCUGCUCUCUUCAUGGAAGGUUCGUCCCCUUCCUCUCCCUCCACAGCGCCUAUAUUCCGGGGCUUCCGCAGAGCUAGUGAGGCCAGCAUUGCCAGCCAAGUUUCAGGGAUGGCUGACAGCUACCCGGCUUCCAACAUCGCCAACAAGAAAAAAUAUGAGUCAAUCCCUCACAAAAAGUUGGGUUUCUUGUCCAAACUUAUCCCCUACAACAAAGCCCUUCCAAAAUUCAUUUACCCUCAGCGCUAUAAACAGUCCAAAGCAAUGCUGUCACAGAACAAGCAAAGGCUGAGACAGAAUGUUGUGAAACCGAUUGGAGCAAAGCUGAGAGGGUACGAGACGGAUCUCCACACAGUUGCGUCCAGGUGGUGGGGGACUAAGAGAGUUGACUACGCUCUCUACUGCCCAGACGCUCUGACAGCCUUCCCAACGAUAGCCCUGCCCCACCUCUUCCAUGCCAGCUACUGGGAGUCAAGCGAUGUGGUGUCCUUCCUGCUGCGACAGAUCAUGAGACAUGAAAAUGAAAGUAUUCUGGAACUGGACGGGAAGGAGGUUUCAGUGUUCAGUCCUUCAAAACCACGAGAGAAGUGGCUUCGCAAGAGGACGCAUGUUAAGAUAAGGAAUGUUACAGCAAACCAUCGAGUGAACGAUGUGAUCGUCACUGAGGACGGUCCUCAGACACUGAUGGGCAGAUUCAUGUAUGGGCCGCUCGAUAUGGUCACACUGACUGGCGAGAAGGUGGAUAUACACAUUAUGACUCAGCCUCCCACAGGAAAGUGGGUGUACUUUGACACCGACAUUACAAACAGCAGCGGCAGGAUUUCCUACGUUAUUCCAGAUGGCAAAAGACUGGGGAUCGGUGUCUAUCCAGUAAAAAUGGUCAUUAGAGGGGACCAUACGUCAGGGGACAGCUACAUCACGGUGCUUCCAAAGGGAACGGAGGGUGUCGUCUUCAGCAUUGAUGGAUCAUUCGCAGCCAGUGUUUCCAUUAUGGGGAGUGACCCCAAGGUGCGAGCUGGGGCAGUCGAUGUUGUACGACACUGGCAGGAUCUCGGCUACUUCAUCGUCUAUGUGACGGGACGUCCCGACAUGCAGAAGCAGAGAGUGGUGGCGUGGCUGGCCCAGCACAACUUCCCCCACGGAAUCGUGUCCUUCUGCGACGGGCUGGUUCAUGACCCUCUCCGGCAUAAGGCCAACUUCCUGCGCAGCCUAGUGCACGACGUGUCGAUGAAAGUUCAUGCAGCCUACGGCUCCACAAAGGAUAUCUCCGUGUACGCUUCCUUGGGCUUAUCAGCGUCACAAAUCUUCAUUGUCGGCCGUUCAACCAAGAAGUACCAACAUCAGUGCCAGUUUUUGACAGAUGGAUAUGCAGCACAUUUAUCACAACUGGAGUAUACGCAACGAUCCCGUCCUGCUAAGAGCAGUUCCAGAAUGGUGCUGCGAAAGGGGAGCUUUGGUCUACCCUCACAGCCGGACUUCCUGAGGAAAAGGAACCACUUGCUGCGCACCAUCUCCAGCCAGCAAGCAGCAUCCACUUCCAACAAGCCUGAGCGGACAUACAGUCAGUCUGAAGGUGAGCAGGAUCGAGAUAAGGAACGUGGGCACCGGAGCAUGAGUAUCACUGCCAGCUGCUGGGGUCGGCCUGGCACCUCCAGGCUGGAAUCUGGUGUUUAAUGAAAGCACUGGAGGUGGGGGUCGGUGCUGGGAUGGUAGCCUGCAGGUGAAUGGUACCAUGGUGCUAACAAAGUGAAUCGGACUGAAGACAUGAACUCUCAGCCUUAACAAUUCAGUGUUGCAUUGUGGGACACUAGCUUGUUACCCUUUGUUAUAGAGAUACAGCUUCAACUUUUAAAGCCUGCUUCAUUCGGCACCUUUUCUAUCGAUGUUUGUAAAUACCCAUACCUUGUGUCAAAGUCAGUGUCACCGAACCACACAUCUCUCUCUCAAAGUCUGCUUGCAAUCCAGCAGGAAAGUGGUAUCACAUUAGCUGUUCAUUUUCAUAUGGUUUGGCUUUAGUAACUCAAUGCUGAAAAUCCUUCUUCAACGUGAUUAACUAUAUUCACAGAGUAAUCCUCUUGUGUGCAGACUGUAAGGUUUAAUCCAAAGCUGCUCAUUCAAGUAUCUGAUAUUGGAGCUUGGUAUUGUACCAAUGAAAGUUUAAAAUGGAACUUGCUUCUUUGACUCCCUAGAAAGUAAUUUAGGAGUACUGCCAAAGGAAUAGACAGUAUCUCUUUUUGAUGAAUUAUAUAAAGGUCAAUAUAAAUUUGAGGUUGUAUCAAAUGCAAUAAAUGAAGUGUUUGUUGAUAUUUCAGUCACAUUCAGUGAAGCAAAAUAAAGAAAAGUGCAAUGAGAAAACCAAUACUGGCUUUAAAGUGUACCUAGUUAGAUCAGUACACAUGUGUACCUAGUUCAGUACACAGUAAAGUCUACCUAGUUAGAUCAGUACACACCGUCUCGGGGGCUAACAAGCAGGUAGACACAAAGAAUUUGCUGUUGAACAAAGAUGCUAAACUGCCAAUACUUAAGUAGCUUUGUUUUACAGUUUCCUUCUCCUUAAAUUAGAUUUUGUACCAUAUUGGAGUAUAUUUCACUCCUCGCCCUGGUGUUUUGGUUUUAUUACAGAACUGCCCAGAGAUGCCAGAGCUAUAUGUGCAUGUGUAAUAAAGGGUAAACAUCACCCCAGAAUGAAAUGACAUGACUCAGUCUGACAACUUUAGAACAGAGAAAGGAGCCGCUGAAUAUUUCUCAAACUAAAAUGCAUCCUGAUCCUCAGGUGUUAGAAAGAGAAAACCCCCAGUCACUGAGGAAUGAUCUCGUCUGAUCCCAGUUCCAUUUGUUGUCAAGCUUGCUUCCUUCUCUAGUUAGUGUCGUUGCCCACUUGCUCCUGCCCCCAACCUAAGCUGCCUUUGCUCAUUGUAAACAGUCAGGAUAGCACGCGUUAUGGUGGAGUACUAAACCCUGUACUCCAGCAUACUGCUGUUCCUACUCACAAUAACAGCACAUGAUCUGUUUUCAUCUAAUACUGAAUAUUGAACCAAAAUUCUGGUGAUGCUGGAAAACAAAGCACAUUGGAGCGAAUUAGCAGGUCAAGCAGUGACUAGAGAGAGAGAGAGAAGCAGAGUGAACAUGUGCGACGAGCAUCCACGGGCGUGGGGGACGGUUUAGUGUUUCAGGAUUUAUUUCAAAAUGUUAUCUGUUGUGCUUUCUUACACUGAAGGACAUGCCUGCUUAUUUGGUUACUAUUAAGCACAGGUUCGCAAGCUAGUUCAAUCUAAAUGGCUAAAUUAGGGGAAUAUAUCAAGUGAAGUUUUUACUCUUUCAAAUGACAAACUCAACAUCUAAGAAAGUGAAAGUAACGAAUCUGCUCUGCAGAAGAAAGUUGAUAUUCUGUAAUAAAUAUUGUGUGUAAAUACAUGUAAAUGCAGAUCUAAAUAAGGGGAGAUAUUUAUUUGUGUAGAUAAACUGCAGGAGAUGGCAAAUUUAUUAAUAUUUAAAAUAUAGAGUUUUGCUUUGAAUGGUAUAUAAGAUUAUUUUAUGGACCAAUAAUAAUUUAGCUGUUCAUUGCAUAAUUGCAAUAUACAACUACUAUUCAUAAUCAUGGUGAUCAUAGCAUUGACAAUCAAUGUCGUGUGUACUGGGCUGGAUGUGACGUUUCGGUGAGCCGAGCCUAAAGCUGCAUCUUCUUCCCCAGCCGAGGGAGAGAUGAUGAAAUGACAGUUCCACUCAUUGGGGAAGCCUGGACUGUGUGUGAUACCAAUGUCACUUGUGCCCAACCCGACACAGCCUCUUAACCAGCGAGGACUAGGAUUACCAAGCGCCACAAGUGAUGUGUGCUCACAGUGCACUCUUGUACUGGCAGGUGGGCAAGGCCAGGACACUGUGGACCACCUGCUGCACACACAGCCCUGGUACAAUCAGGUAAUCACUGCUCAUUCUCAAUCUCACUACCAAUAUAGCUAACGUUUAUACAAGAUUCUCUGAAUUAAUUCCAAAUCGUUAAACUUUACCCCUUGCUAUUUUAUUUAAAGACCCUGUUGUUAAUGCCAAAGGUGAUUCAGUAUUUGCUGGAAAACUGGAGUUAACCUGCAGCAUUUAACACAGACUUUACCUCAGCUGGUUUUCAUACACUAAAGAAGCAGACUGUGGUUAGGCUCUGCACAGCACUGCUGCAGAAUGCAGGAGAUGAUAGUUUUGCCUGUUAGCUCCUGAAUGACAAUGACAUCCAAUCCCAAGCAGUUUACAGUGUUGCAAGCUUCCAACUCACCAAAGGGCCACAGGUAAAGACAGCCACACCUUGACACUGGAGCACCUGGUGGACAGGUAAACACAGCCACACCUUGACACUGGAGCAUCUGGUGGUCUUGUUGCUUUAAGGCAACACCACUUGCUGCAUUAAGUAUUACCUGCUGAAUCCUUCCAUUUUCUGUGCAAAUUGCACAGAUAAAUUGAUAACUUUGACAGUAAUUUUUUUAUUCAGAAGUGUUUGUUAUAUUUUAUUUAUAGAAAUGUUACAUAUGGAAUUAUUAAAUAUUGCAAAUGCCAAAUGUGUACAAUUUGCUAGACUUGUUAAAUGAUGCACACCUCAAAUGAAUUCAAUACUGUAUUAGAUUUACUAUACUGCCCCAGGUCUCCCUUCUUUAGUUUUAGUUCAGACUGUGUCGAGAGGUGUGAGACCUGUCCAUUGUAUGUAACACGCCAUGGUGGUACAGACUGCUGCCGCUGCCUGUUGUGUGUGUUAUUGUGCCUCGUGAGCUUUGUGCAUAAUUGUACGUUAUAUCAAUUAAACAAAAAUGGGACAUUA